GAGGGUAUAGCUCAGUGGCAGAGCGAACGUUUAGCAUGCAAGAGAUCCUGGGUUCAAUCUCCAGUACUUCCA
rnacentral:tRNA from 1 species